CAGUCGCCGCGGGAACACGAAGGGGGCUAGCGUUGUUCGGAAUUACUGGGCGUAAAGCGCACGUAGGCGGAUAUUUAAGUCAGGGGUGAAAUCCCGCAGCUCAACUGCGGAACUGCCUUUGAUACUGGGUAUCUUGAGUAUGGAAGAGGUUAGUGGAAUUGCGAGUGUAGAGGUGAAAUUCGUAGAUAUUCGCAGGAACACCAGUGGCGAAGGCGGCUAACUGGUCCAUAACUGACGCUGAGGUGCGAAAGCGUGGGGAGCAAACAGGAUUAGAUACCCCUGUAGUCCCUGUCUCUUAUAC
rnacentral:rRNA from 1 species